rnacentral:rRNA from 1 species
UACGUAGGUGGCGAGUGUUGUCCGGAUUUACUGGGCGUAAAGGGAGCGUAGGCGGACUUUUAAGUGAGAUGUGAAAUACUCGGGCUCAACUUGAGUGCUGCAUUUCAAACUGGAAGUCUAGAGUGCAGGAGAGGAGAAUGGAAUUCCUAGUGUAGCGGUGAAAUGCGUAGAGAUUAGGAAGAACACCAGUGGCGAAGGCGAUUCUCUGGACUGUAACUGACGCUGAGGCUCGAAAGCGUGGGGAGCAAACAGG